AAGACUCAAAUUCUCCAUUAUCUUAAUUUGAAUGGUCACAAGUCAUAACAACCGGUGGGGUCACCUUGCUCCUCAAGUACAUUUUUCUGCAGCUUAUGAUUUGUAGAUCUCAAAACAAGCUUUAAAAUACAACCAAACAUUAAUUAAAUUCAAGCCCAGUUUUGACCCAAAUCCAUCAGCAUCAUCUAUAAAUAGGGGUCUUGAAGAAGCAGGAGUGUGUGUGUGUGUGUUAGCUUACAAUCUCCAUCCUUUGGCUGUUCGAGAACAGUUAAAAACCAGCAAAAGACAAGGGUAAAAGAGAGAAGUAUCAGUCUUCUGAGAUCUGAUGGUGGCUUUGAAAUUCAACAAGAGGAGGGUUGACAGAGUCACCGCUCUCUGUGUCCUCUCAGGUCUACUUGUGGGUGGUCUGAUCAGCUCGUCCUUAAAUGGGUCUCAACGGAACAUGGAGAAGAAAGAGGCUGAAGGCUACAUGGGACUUGCAGAGCACUUUGUUUAGAUUCGUGCCGCCUCUGCAACAAGAAACCUCGAUGAUGUCAAUCGUGUUCUGGGUUGUGCUUAGCAGAUCGAUUUCUUCCAUGUCUAUGUACUACCUUUAGUGGGAAGAGAUCAGAAAUAAAUCAUAAGGACCUCGAGGCAAUCGAUACGGUAGAGAGUGCGGUCUUGCCCAUGGGAAGAAGAAAAUACAUGUUCUACCCGAAAAGGAAAGAACAGAGAAA